rnacentral:rRNA from 1 species
GUUGGGAAUUCAUCGAAGGUUAUCGCUUCAUUGCUUCCUACGGGACAUCUUAUAAGGCACCAAAUCUGGGGCAACUGUAUGGCUUCUACGGAAAUCCGAAUCUGGACCCGGAGAAAAGCAAACAGUGGGAAGGCGCGUUUGAAGGCUUAACCGCUGGGGUGAACUGGCGUAUUUCCGGAUAUCGUAACGAUGUCAGUGACUUGAUCGAUUAUGAUGAUCACACCCUGAAAUAUUACAACGAAGGGAAAGCGCGGAUUAAGGGCGUCGAGGCGACCGCCAAUUUUGAUACCGGACCACUGACGCAUACUGUGAGUUAUGAUUAUGUCGAUGCGCGCAAUGCAAUUACCGACACGCCGUUGUUACGCCGUGCUAAACAGCAGGUGAAAUACCAGCUCGACUGGCAGUUGUAUGACUUCGACUGGGGUAUUACUUAUCAGUAUUUAGGCACUCGCUAUGAUAAGGAUUACUCAUCUUAUCCUUAUCAAACCGUUAAAAUGGGCGGUGUGAGCUUGUGGGAUCUUGCGGUUGCGUAUCCGGUCACCUCUCACCUGACAGUUCGUGGUAAAAUAGCCAACCUGUUCGACAAAGAUUAUGAGACAGUCUAUGGCUACCAAACUGCAGGACGGGAAUACACCUUGUCUGGCAGCUACACCUUCUGAACCACGUCCCACCGUGCUGGUGUUUGACUCCGGCGUCGGUGGGUUGUCGGUCUAUGACGAGAUCCGGCAUCUCUUACCGGAUCUCCAUUACAUUUAUGCUUUCGAUAACGUCGCUUUCCCGUAUGGCGAAAAAAGCGAAGCGUUUAUUGUUGAGCGAGUGGUGGCAAUUGUCACCGCGGUGCAAGAACGUUAUCCCCUUGCGCUGGCUGUGGUCGCUUGCAACACUGCCAGUACCGUUUCACUUCCUGCAUUACGCGAAAAGUUCGACUUCCCGGUUGUUGGUGUCGUGCCGGCGAUUAAACCUGCUGCACGUCUGACGGCAAAUGGCAUUGUCGGAUUACUGGCAACCCGCGGAACAGUUAAACGUUCUUAUACUCAUGAGCUGAUCGCGCGUUUCGCUAAUGAAUGCCAGAUAGAAAUGCUGGGCUCGGCAGAGAUGGUUGAGUUGGCUGAAGCGAAGCUGCAUGGCGAAGAUGUUUCUCUGGAUGCACUAAAACGUAUCCUACGCCCGUGGUUAAGAAUGAAAGAGCCGCCAGAUACCGUUGUAUUGGGUUGCACCCAUUUCCCUCUACUACAAGAAGAACUGUUACAAGUGCUGCCAGAGGGAACCCGGCUGGUGGAUUCUGGCGCAGCGAUUGCUCGCCGAACGGCCUGGUUGUUAGAACAUGAAGCCCCGGAUGCAAAAUCUGCCGAUGCGAAUAUUGCCUUUUGUAUGGCAAUGACGCCAGAAGCUGAACAAUUAUUGCCCGUUUUACAGCGUUACGGCUUCGAAACGCUCGAAAAACUGGCAGUUUUAGGCUGAUUUGGUUGAAUGUUGCGCGGUCGGAAAAUUAUUUUAAAUUUCCUCUUGUCAGGCCGGAAUAACUCCCUAUAAUGCGCCACCACUGACACGGAACAACGGCAAACACGCCGCCGGGUCAGCGGGGUUCUCCUGAGAAUUCCGACAGAGAAAGCAAAAAUAAAUGCUUGACUCUGUAGCGGGAAAGCGUAAUAUACGCCACCUCGCGACAGUGAGCUGAAAGCCGCGUCGCAACUGCUCUUUAACAAUUUAUCAGACA